GACAGAGGGUGCAAACGUUGUUCGGAAUUACUGGGCGUAAAGCGAGUGUAGGCGGUUUGGUAAGUCGGAUGUGAAAGCCCCGGGCUCAACCCGGGAAGUGCACUCGAUACUGCCAAGCUAGAGUAUCGGAGAGGUUGGUGGAAUUCUCGGUGUAGAGGUGAAAUUCGUAGAUAUCGAGAGGAACACCGGUGGCGAAGGCGGCCAACUGGACGAAUACUGACGCUGAGACCCGAAAGCGUGGGGAGCAAACAGG
rnacentral:rRNA from 1 species